UACGAAGGGGCUAGCGUUGCUCGGAAUCACUGGGCGUAAAGGGCGCGUAGGCGGCGUUUUUAAGUCGGGGUGAAAGCCUGUGGCUCAACCACAGAAUGGCCUCGAUACUGGGACGCUUGAGUAUGGUAGAGGUUGGUGGAACUGCGAGUGUAGAGGUGAAAUUCGUAGAUAUUCGCAAGAACACCGGUGGCGAAGGCGGCCAACUGGACCAUUCUGACGCUGAGGCGCGAAAGCGUGGGGAGCAAACAGG
rnacentral:rRNA from 1 species